GCCGAAAUAGCUCAGUUGGGAGAGCGUUAGACUGAAGAUCAAAAGGUCUGUGGUUCAAUCCCGGGUUUCGGCA
rnacentral:tRNA from 1 species